CGCACGGGUGAGUAAUACGUGGAUAAUCUUCCCUCGAGCGGGGGAUAACAUUCCGAAAGGAGUGCUAAUACCGCAUAAGACCACGGAGCCGAAAGGUUCUGGGGUAAAAGCAGGCCUCUAUACAUAAGCUUGCACUUGAGGAUGAGUCCACGGCCCAUCAGGUAGUUGGUAGGGUAAUGGCCUACCAAGCCUAAGACGGGUAGCUGGUCUGAGAGGAUGAUCAGCCACACUGGAACUGAGACACGGUCCAGACUCCUACGGGAGGCAGCAGUGGGGAAUCUUGCGCAAUGGACGAAAGUCUGACGCAGCGACGCCGCGUGAGUGAUGAAGGCCUUCGGGUUGUAAAGCUCUGUGGGGAAGAAAAUUAUCAUGGCAACAUCCAUGAUGAUGACGGUAUCUCNCUUAGCAAGGACCGGAUAAC
rnacentral:rRNA from 1 species